UACCUGUGGGGCAAGCGUUGUUCGGAAUUACUGGGCCUAAAGGGUGCGUAGGCGGCUUGUUAAGUCAUGGGUGAAAGUUUUCGGCCCAACCGGAAAAUUGCCUUUGAUACUGGCGAGCUCGAGUGCGUGAGGGGUAACCGGAACGAGCAGUGUAGCGGUGAAAUGCGUAGAUAUUGCUCGGAAGGCCAACGGCGAAGGCAGGUUACUGGUACGCAACUGACGCUGAGGCACGAAAGCGUGGGGAGCAAACAGG
rnacentral:rRNA from 1 species